GUUUUAUAUAGAUGAAUGAGAUUGUUUUAUAUGUUGGUUCAUUGUCUAAAUCAGAUUGGUUGUUUACACUGCUUACAACAGAUGACUUUAUGAUCAGUGGGGGAUAAUGUAUGUCAACGUAUACAACAGGAUCAAUUUGACACCAUGUAUUUGUCAGACAAUGAGAGUUAUGUUAUGUACUCUCGCCCUCAUUUUUUAGAUGCCUAAUCCCUCACGGUGCUUUUGAUUCCUUUCAUGAUGUUAUUAGAGUGUGAGUACUCCAUCAAGAUCCCAAUGAUGAAUGAUCAGAGAGGAACUUAAACACAAGAAUGAUGGCAGUAUGAAUCUCUUAUUAUGAGCUUGGUGCUACAAAGUUGAAGGAGUGUUCAUUUUUUAUUUCAAAAUUAAGGAAAUUGUAAUCAUCAUUUUUUAAAGAAAUGAUUAGUUUGUAUUUUUAAUCUUUUUGUUCCUGUAAAGAUUGUCUUUCUUUUAAGAAAUGAUGUAAAUUGAUCUAUGUGAUAUAAAAAAACUUGAUUCAGUUUU